UACGUGAGGGGCGAACGUUGUUCGGUGUCAGCUGGGCUUAAAGGGUGCGUAGGUGGUUGCGUAAGUAAGGUGUGAAAUCCCUCGGCUUACCCGGGGAAUUGCAUUUAUACUGCGUGGCUUGAGGACUAAAGGGGAAAAGGGAACUCCAGGUGUAGCGGUGAAAUGCGCAGAUAUCUGGGGGAAGGCCGGCGGCGAAGGCGCUUUUCUGGUUAGUACCUGACACUGAGGCACGAAAGCGUGGGGAGCAAACAGGG
rnacentral:rRNA from 1 species